ensembl:lncRNA novel transcript, antisense to ARHGAP15
GAGGAAACUGAAAAAUAGCUCAGUCUCCAGCAUCUAACAGUCAUGAAAGGGAGAGAAGUGGCAUAUGAAAUAGACUAAAACCAGUACUGAAACACAGGGACAACAUGCUAUGGGAACACAGUGGAAGAAGCAGCUAAUUCCUGUUGAGAUUUAUGCCAAGAAUCAUGAGAUCUGUGUCAAGGAGGUGAGCUCAUCCAUCAGCAAAACCACUGAUGAUGUGCAUCUUGCUCUGAAAGACUGUUCUGCUGGGACCUAUCAAAUAAUAAUACGCAUACAUACUCCAGCCCCCAGGACUGAUGGGAUAUUGAAUUCCAACAUCCUAAGCAGAUAAUGGGAUGAAUAAAGAAUGCAUCUUUUGCCAAGUACUGGGUAGAAUUUCCUUGGAGAGACUACAGAAGUGUGAGCAAUUUGGCUCUGUUCAUUACAAACAGGUGAAAAUCAGCUUUGAGGUCUUCAGUUAUUUGCUGGACAAUUCCCUGAUGAUAUUAAAGCACCCAGUAGAAGAAUGUGCCUUAUCAAAAACAUAUAUCAAUCAUGAUGAACCUUUAAAAUAUAUUAGUUGAUUGCUUACGGCUGUUUUAGACUAAAAGACCAACACAAAAUGCUUCCUUCCUCUCCCCUGGAGCUUUCUAUUGGAAUCAUGAAACAUACCAUGAUUUUCUCCACACCUGUGCCUGUCUUCUUGGAGUGCAUUUCCUCUGCCUGAAUAAUCCCUUCAAGUCCUUCAUGAACCACCUCAAAUGUGAACAUUGGCUUUUCCCAGUCUGGGUAAUUUACUCAGACUCCUACCACAUGCACCUAUGGGACUCUACGGUUUCAUCUGACAGCUUAAAACACUGAGAGACUUGCUUUUUUGUCUGUCUUUUCUGCCUAGGUAGUUAUAUCCCUAAACACAGAUUCAGCUUCAUGCCCUUCCUUCCUGGGUUAUUGCUUGGCAUAAGUAUAUACUGAAUGAAUAGAAGAGUUCCAAUAAGUUUUAACAUUUCCUUGGCAUUUAAACAUUUAAUAUUUAUAAUUUCACCUCCUUAUGAAAUUCCCCAAAGCGUGUGCCAUACAGAAAUUUGCAGAAUCCCAAACAAAACUAUGCAAGAAGGGGGACUACUACCCACAGACACCCUUUAGCUGAUUAGUCUAAUCAGCCGCUCUGACUCAGCAUCUAAAACGGUUUUCACAUUUUUACUUAAAACAGUAUUGUAUCACUAUAAUAAUUUAAGAGGAUUUUCCAUUAUUGUGAAAUAUACUGGGAAUUAUAAGGACAUUUUUAAUUUAGAAAGUUGAAGGAGGAAAGUGAUUUUCUCACUGCACAGCUAAUCAGAGUUGGUGCUGGCUAUAGGUCAAGAUCAGUAUUUCUCAAAGUAUGUUCCAGGACUCACUGGUCCCUUGGGAUUCUCAAUAAAAGUGUCCAUGAUCAGAUAUGUUUGGGAACACUGAAUUCCAGGUCCUUAACAUAUUAAAUGCCCUGAGAAAUUCUCCAGUCAAGACAUCUAUUUAUCUUUGUUAUGCUCAACAUUUCCCAAAUUCCUUUGAUCGUGAGUUUGAUGACAUUAUAAAAACUCACUAUGGAAAAAGCUAGUCUUGGUCACCACAUUCUCAUCCCAGUGUUUGCCUUUUACUUACAGUAGUAUGUGCAUAGCAAAGUCGAGAUCUGAAGCAAUUAUUUGAUCUCGAACUCCCGACCUCAGAUGAUCCAACCACCUUGGCCUCCCAUAGUGCUGGGUCACAGGCAUGAGCCACCACGCCUGGCUGUUGAAGCAGUUAUUUGGGAUACAUUUAGUUACCAAUUUUAUUUUGAA